CCUACGGGCGGCUGCAGUGGGGAAUAUUGCACAAUGGGCGCAAGCCUGAUGCAGCCAUGCCGCGUGUGUGAAGAAGGCCUUCGGGUUGUAAAGCACUUUCAGCGGGGAGGAAGGCGGUGAGGUUAAUAACCUCAUCGAUUGACGUUACCCGCAGAAGAAGCACUGGCUAACUCCGUGCCGGCAGCCGCGGUAAUACGGAGGGUGCAAGCGUUAAUCGGAAUUACUGGGCGUAAAGCGCACGCAGGCGGUCUGUCAAGUCGGAUGUGAAAUCCCCGGGCUCAACCUGGGAACUGCAUUCGAAACUGGCAGGCUAGAGUCUUGUAGAGGGGGGUAGAAUUCCAGGUGUAGCGGUGAAAUGCGUAGAGAUCUGGAGGAAUACCGGUGGCGAAGGCGGCCCCCUGGACAAAGACUGACGCUCAGGUGCGAAAGCGUGGGGAGCGAACAGGAUUAGAUACCCUUGUAGUC
rnacentral:rRNA from 1 species